AUUGAACGCUGGCGGCAGGCCUAACACAUGCAAGUCGAGCGGAGCGGCGGACGGGUGAGUAAUGCCUAGGAAUCUGCCUGGUAGUGGGGGAUAACGUCCGGAAACGGGCGCUAAUACCGCAUACUAUCAGAUGAGCCUAGGUCGGAUUAGCUUGUAGGUGAGGUAACGGCUCACCUAGGCGACGAUCCCUAGCUGGUCUGAGAGGAUGACCAGCCACACUGGAACUGAGACACGGUCCAGACUCCUACGGGAGGCAGCAGUGGGGAAUAUUGCACAAUGGGCGCAAGCCUGAUGCAGCCAUGCCGCGUGUAUGAAGAAGGCCUUCGGGUUGUAAAGUACUUUCAGCGGGGAGGCGUUACCCGCAGAAGAAGCACCGGCUAACUCCGUGCCAGCAGCCGCGGUAAUAC
rnacentral:rRNA from 1 species